CGUGCGAUUAGUCUCGUUUGUUCUAGUCAACUGUUCGAUAAAUUUAUUCAACUAGCAGCGAGAGCGCGACUUGUUUUUCAAUUGUAUUCCAGGCUUAAUUUUAGCUAGGAUGUUAUACAGCGCGUUUUAAACCCUUUCAUUGAGUCUGGAUCAGUCUGACUUAUGAUUACGUGCUGCUAUCGGCGUUAAAAAGCGAAGCGGUUGAAUAUGCUCGCAACAUUUGGUGAUCAGACACAUCCGCGUGUAUUUGUUUUACGCUGUUUGCCCGUAUGAUAUAAUAUAUAUUGGUGCACAGUGCACAUAUUUAUCUAGACACCUACCGUGUUGGAGUUGUGUUUAUAAUUAGUAGGGGAAUGCAAGGUGGCGAAGUGACAACACUCGUAUUCCGAAUAUUUCAAUUUUAUCUAGAGAAGAGAGUGUGGAUUUGUUGAUCAUCAAGGACGCUACAAACUAAAACCGCAGCGGCUUGAACUAACCUCACUGCAUACCUCAGUUUUACAC